GAUUAAUGUUUAAAACUAUUUAGCUGCCAUGCUUUGCCUCUGUGAAAACCAGAGCACAAAUAAUGGCUAUCAGAUCUCUUCUUGCCCCUCUCACCCUGCUUUAGCUACUUUUAGCUCAUUCUCUUCCUUGUUAUUCUCUCUGGCUGCAGUUCACCCCUCUGAGAGUUUGUGUGGAGAAGCUGUGCCAGAGGCCUCCGAGCCCAGCCAUCUCCAGCAGCAGCAGCGCGGCGGCCGGGCACGCUGGAGCAGACGUGGUGUGCUGCCCUCCGGGGCACGCAGGUGACACGUUUUCAGAAGGAUGUCAGAGAAGUGACAGAGGUCCCGCCGGUGUCUGCAGUUUUGUCCCAGGAGGCAUGAGCUGUGCAGCUGAUGAAACACACACCGCCUCAGUUUUAAAACCAGCUUCUGACUUGGUUAAUUCUUCCAGAUGGGAACAGAAGUGUUUGCUCCAACCGAUGCUGCUGAGCAGCCGCAGGGGCUGUUUUACCUGACCGCACUGGUGUUCUGCUCAUCAAUACUCCAGCCGCUCGGGAUUGCUCAGGUUUGGGGCACUCCAAUAAAAUUAGGCUGUGCCGUGGGACUCCAUAACCUCAGCGUGUUGUUCUGAGAGCGCUUCACUUCUACGCAGCUCCUGGUGAUCUGCACAGCCCCUCUCCUGUGCUCGUCCCUGGAAGUUUUUUGUGAACGGUGUGAGCAUGAAACAAAACGGUGGGGUAAUCUGUGUCACCACAGCCAGCCUGGGAUAGACAGAGCACUGGGAGCCCUGGGCCUUCUCUUCCAGUUUGAAAUGCAGCUGGUAAUUGCAUCAGCAGGUGGGGGCGCUGGGCCCGCCAACUGUUGGCCCAUCAGGGGAUCACUGGGGUCACCCCUGGGGGUAAGGAGCCUCACACGUGGCCAUGUGCUGGGGGAGGCUGUGUCCGUGCGAAUCCAACUGAUGCUACAAAAGGUCACAGUUCUUCCUCAGUCUCUUUUUGCUUUUAUUCUUUCCGUAACUAAAUGUCAUUUAAUUUAUAUCUCCUUAGUAUUCUGAAAUACACCACUAGUUGCAUGAGCUAGCUAGGUUAGCACCAGUCCCUCCUCACGUGAACAAGCGGACGGCCGUCCUGUGUCUGCUGGCCAGGGCAGAAAAAUGUGUUCACCGUGGUAGACACGAGGGGCAAAGGGUGGCCAACCACGGUGAUCUCAAGUCGUUGCUUCUGAAUCACUGCAGUCAUUUUCAGCAAUGUCAGUUAAAAAAAAAAAAAAAAAAAAAACAAAACAGGAGAAAAAUAAAUAUCCUCUUGUAGGUGAGAUGGUGGUUGGCUGAAAAUGGGCUGAAGAAGCCACGAGUCUGUAGCAAUACUUAAACUUUUGAGCAGGACAGCUGGGUUACAUCAGUGUAAGUCUGUGCCCAGCUGGAUAACUCAUAAGCAGCAGAAGCUUCCAAACUGUGGCAUGAAACUUAGGAGCAGCUCACAGGUGGGUGUGCUUGCUCCCAAGUUAGGAACACAAGGUUACGGGCUGGCGUGCCGUGACUCCAGCAGAUGCAUCGUUCUCUUGUGCUAGUGAUAAAAAAAUGAAAAGGCUAACUGGUACUGCCCUGCCACCUCCAGCAGGAUCAGCCAUAUGAGCACACACCCCCCUCCCCUUAGUUCUAAAUCUGCUGUUUUUCUCUGUGGCAGCAUCUUCGAGCAUAUCUGCAUUUGCUAAAAGUAGAGAAUAAAGCAGUCUGUGUCUUAGACUGCAGGCAGUGCUAGGAGAAGGCUGUACAGGAGGCUGUUCUGCUCUACGUGUGAGAGGAGAGCAGCUCUUCUCUCCUUGGACCUUCUUUGUGAGGCUCCACAGGGAAUUUUGAUGAUAAAUUGACAACCUGUGAAAUCAUGACGUUUGUAUCAAAUUGUCCUCAUGACCUUCGUACAUCUUCCCAGCACCCGCUGCUCAGAUUUCAGCAUGAGUACAGCAAGCAGGGCUUAGGUAGCUCGCUAGGGUUGGGAAUUACUUUCAACAAGUAAUUGCAGUUCAAAAACUGCAGGAUGUUUUGAUAGCACAGAUUUAUUUAUUUAUUUGUUAAUAAUGAAUAUCUGCAAGGCAGGACAGCAUUUCAGGAGAUGUUUUGUCAUUCCUGCCCUAUACAAUGAAGCAGAUGAAGAAAUUUCUAGCCCUGCAUUUUGGAAAAAAAUUAUCAGAGAUUUCAAAGGGGAAGGGAAUUCCUCAUGCAGAAUGAAGAGGUGACUUCGAAAUGCUGCAGUAGGAAGGAGAUGUUUUCUAGGCUUCUGAUUACGGUGCUGAUCUGAAUAGGAACACCCAAAGCUAUUUUGACGUGAUGGUUGGAAACAAAGCUCAAACAGUUUUCAGGAACGUCAGUCAUACUCGAGGAAAAUUUGUUUCCCUUUGUCAUAAAAUUGUACCACCCACUGAAAUUAAAACCUUUUCUCCUCGGU